rnacentral:rRNA from 1 species
AUUAAACGCUGGCGGCAUGCCUUACACAUGCAAGUCGAACGGUAGCGCGGGGCAACCUGGCGACGAGUGGCGAACGGGUGAGUAAAGCAUCGGAACGUGCCCUGGAAUGGGGGAUAACGUAGCGAAAGUUACGCUAAUACCGCAUAUUCUGUGAGCAGGAAAGCAGGGGAUCGCAAGACCUUGCGUUCUGGGAGCGGCCGAUGUCGGAUUAGCUAGUUGGUGGGGUAAAGGCCUACCAAGGCGACGAUCCGUAGCGGGUCUGAGAGGAUGAUCCGCCACACUGGGACUGAGACACGGCCCAGACUCCUACGGGAGGCAGCAGUGAGGAAUAUUGGGCAAUGCACGAAAGUGUGACCCAGCAACGCCGCGUGGAGGAUGAAGGUAUUCUAUAUCGUAAACUCCUGUGAGAGCAGACGAAAGACAGAUUAUAAUUUGGAUGACUGUAUGCUCAGAGGAAGCCCCGGCUAACUACGUGCCAGCAGCCGCGGUAAU